GGGGGAUUAGUUCAGCGGUAGAAUGUCAGAUUCCAGUAUGUGAAAUUCCUGAAGGUCACCGGUUCAAAUCCGGUAUCCCUCA